UGAGAGCUGAGAGAGAGAGAUGGGAGCUGAGAGAGAGAUGGGAGCUGAGAGAGAGAUGGGAGCUGAGAGAGAGAUGGGAGCUGAGAGAGAGAUGGGAGAUGAGAGAGAGAUGGAAGCUGAGAAGGAGAGAUGGGAGCUGAGAAGGAGAGAUGGGAGCUGAGAAGGAGAGAUGGGAGCUGAGAGAGAGAUGGAAGCUGACAGAGAGAUGGGAGCUGAGAGAGAGAGAUGAGAGCUGAGAGAGAGAUGGGAGCUGAGAGAGAGAUGGGAGCUGAG
ensembl:lncRNA